UACGUAGGGGGCAAGCGUUGUCCGGAAUCAUUGGGCGUAAAGAGCGUGUAGGCGGUCCGGUAAGUCGGCUGUGAAAGUCCAGGGCUCAACCCUGGGAUGCCGGUCGAUACUGCCGGACUAGAGUUCGGAAGAGGCGAGUGGAAUUCCCGGUGUAGCGGUGAAAUGCGCAGAUAUCGGGAGGAACACCUAUGGCGAAGGCAGCUCGCUGGGACGUUACUGACGCUGAGACGCGAAAGCGUGGGGAGCCAACAGG
rnacentral:rRNA from 1 species